rnacentral:lncRNA from 13 species
GAAUUCAGCCAAAUGAAUAGAAAGAAGCAUAUUACAUACAUAUCAUAAAUGUAAUUGACUUUGCAGCAUGGUUUAACUGAAUGCGAAUCAAAAUGUAGAUAAAGGUCCUGUAGCAUCAGCAUUACCUGGGACCUUGUUAGAGCCACAAAGUUUCAGGCCCUAACCUCACAGGUAUUGAAUCAGUGCCCCUGGGGAUGGGGUUCACAAAUCUGUAGGUUAACAAGAUUUUCAGGUGAUUCUGAUGCACACUGGAGUUUGAGAAGCACUGGUCAAAAUAGCUGGCCCUCAACUUGGUCACAAAUUGGAGUCACCUAAAAUGCUUUUUAAAAAAUUAUCUGUUCUGCUUUCACCUUCAGAAAUUCUGGUUUUAAUUAUAAUGGAAAGCUCUCAAAGAUGGAUGCAUUAUCUUUUUAUACUGGACCUUUUGCCACUCCACCAUCAAGAGAUAGGACAACAAUACCCUGGAAUCUAACAAAAAUGUGA